UAGCUCUUUUCAGCCACAAUGCACACUCGC
rnacentral:piRNA from 1 species